UACAGAGGGUGCGAGCGUUGUUCGGAAUUAUUGGGCGUAAAGGGUGCGUAGGCGGUUUUGUAAGUCUUAUGUGAAAUCUAUGGGCUCAACUCAUAGACUGCAUGAGAAACUGCAGGGCUUGAGUAUGGGAGAGGUGAGUGGAAUUCCUGGUGUAGCGGUGAAAUGCGUAGAUAUCGGAAGGAACACCUGUGGCGAAAGCGGCUCACUGGACCAUUACUGACGCUGAGGCACGAAAGCUAGGGGAGCAAACAGG
rnacentral:rRNA from 1 species